GUAUAUUGAUUCGGUAUAUCAAUAUUCACUUGAGUCUGUAAUGAUUCUUGUUCUUUUGGUCUGUAGUAAUGUUCCUUAAGACGCAUAUUCCUCCCAAAUUUAAAUAGUUCCACAUUCCAUUUGAACAAAUUAGGGGAUGCCGUGGGUACAAAAGAAAGGCCAUGUUCCAAAAUUUGUAAUUCUUGUUUGUCCAACACCCUAUGAGAUAGGUUGAAGAUAGGUGUUACUUCCUCAUUGGAG